CCUACGGGAGGCAGCAGUGGGGAAUAUUGGACAAUGGGCGAAAGCCUGAUCCAGCCAUGCCGCGUGUGUGAAGAAGGCCUUCGGGUUGUAAAGCACUUUCAGUGGGGAAGAAAGCCUUGGGGCUAAUACCCUCGAGGAAGGACAUCACCCACAGAAGAAGCACCGGCUAACUCCGUGCCAGCAGCCGCGGUAAUACGGAGGGUGCGAGCGUUAAUCGGAAUUACUGGGCGAAAGCGCGCGUAGGCGGUCUGAUAAGCCGGUUGUGAAAGCCCCGGGCUCAACCUGGGAACGGCAUCCGGAACUGUCAGGCUAGAGUGCAGGAGAGGAAGGUAGAAUUCCCGGUGUAGCGGUGAAAUGCGUAGAGAUCGGGAGGAAUACCAGUGGCGAAGGCGGCCUUCUGGACUGACACUGACGCUGAGGUGCGAAAGCGUGGGUAGCAAACAGGAUUAGAUACCCGUGUAGUC
rnacentral:rRNA from 1 species